rnacentral:rRNA from 2 species
AUGGACGAAAGUCUGAUGGAGCAACGCCGCGUGAGUGAAGAAGGGUUUCGGCUCGUAAAACUCUGUUGUUAAAGAAGAACAUAUCUGAGAGUAACUGUUCAGGUAUUGACGGUAUUUAACCAGAAAGCCACGGCUAACUACGUGCCAGCAGCCGCGGUAAUACGUAGGUGGCAAGCGUUGUCCGGAUUUAUUGGGCGUAAAGCGAGCGCAGGCGGUUUUUUAAGUCUGAUGUGAAAGCCUUCGGCUCAACCGAAGAAGUGCAUCGGAAACUGGGAAACUUGAGUGCAGAAGAGGACAGUGGAACUCCAUGUGUAGCGGUGAAAUGCGUAGAUAUAUGGAAGAACACCAGUGGCGAAGGCGGCUGUCUGGUCUGUAACUGACGCUGAGGCUCGAAAGUAUGGGUAGCAAACAGGAUUAGAUACCCUGGUAGUCCAUACCGUAAACGAUGAAUGCUAAGUGUUGGAGGGUUUCCGCCCUUCAGUGCUGCAGCUAACGCAUUAAGCAUUCCGCCUGGGGAGUACGGCCGCAAGGCUGAAACUCAAAGGAAUUGACGGGGGCCCGCACAAGCGGUGGAGCAUGUGGUUUAAUUCGAAGCUACGCGAAGAACCUUACCAGGUCUUGACAUACUAUGCAAAUCUAAGAGAUUAGACGUUCCCUUCGGGGACAUGGAUACAGGUGGUGCAUGGUUGUCGUCAGCUCGUGUCGUGAGAUGUUGGGUUAAGUCCCGCAACGAGCGCAACCCUUAUUAUCAGUUGCCAGCAUUAAGUUGGGCACUCUGGUGAGACUGCCGGUGACAAACCGGAGGAAGGGGGGGGAUGACGUCAA